UAGGGAAUCUUCCACAAUGGACGCAAGUCUGAUGGAGCAACGCCGCGUGAGUGAAGAAGGUUUUCGGAUCGUAAAGCUCUGUUGUUGGUGAAGAAGGAUAGAGGCAGUAACUGGUCUUUAUUUGACGGUAAUCAACCAGAAAGUCACGGCUAACUACGUGCCAGCAGCCGCGGUAAUACGUAGGUGGCAAGCGUUGUCCGGAUUUAUUGGGCGUAAAGCGAGCGCAGGCGGAAUGAUAAGUCUGAUGUGAAAGCCCACGGCUCAACCGUGGAACUGCAUUGGAAACUGUCAUUCUUGAGUGCAGAAGAGGAGAGUGGAAUUCCAUGUGUAACGGUGGAAUGCGUAGAUAUAUGGAAGAACACCAGUGGCGAAGGCGGCUCUCUGGUCUGCAACUGACGCUGAGGCUCGAAAGCAUGGGUAGCGAACAGG
rnacentral:rRNA from 1 species